CACCCGCAGCACGAGUAGUGGUCACUUUUAUUGAGCCUAAAGCGUUCGUAGCCGGUUUUGUAAAUCUUCAGAUAAAGCCUGAAGCUUAACUCCAGAAAGUCUGAAGAGACUGCAAGACUUGAGAUCGGGUGAGGUUAAACGUACUUUCAGGGUAGGGGUAAAAUCCUGUAAUCCCGGAAGGACGACCAGUGGCGAAAGCGUUUAACUAGAACGAAUCUGACGGUAAGGAACGAAGGCUAGGGUAGCAAACCGG
rnacentral:rRNA from 1 species